AUAUAUAACGACUCUCGGCAACGGAUAUCUCGGCUCUCGCAUCGAUGAAGAACGUAGCGAAAUGCGAUACUUGGUGUGAAUUGCAGAAUCCCGCGAAUCAUCGAGUCUUUGAACGCAAGUUGCGCCCGAAGCCAUCCGGCCGAGGGCACGUCUGCCUGGGUGUCACGC
rnacentral:rRNA from 2 species